rnacentral:rRNA from 1 species
UGGGGAAUAUUGGACAAUGGGCGAAAGCCUGAUCCAGCAAUGCCGCGUGUGUGAAGAAGGCCUUCGGGUUGUAAAGCACUUUCAGUGGGGAAGAAACCAGUCAAGGAUAAUACCCUUGAUUAUUGACAUUACCUACAGAAGAAGCACCGGCAAACUCUGUGCCAGCAGCCGCGGUAAUACAGAGGGUGCAAGCGUUAAUCGGAAUUACUGGGCGUAAAGCGCACGUAGGUGGAUAUUUAAGUCGAAGGUGAAAUCCCCGGGCUUAACCUGGGAAUUGCCUCCGAUACUGGAUGUCUAGAGUAUGGUAGAGGGUAGUGGAAUUUCCGGUGUAGCGGUGAAAUGCGUAGAUAUCGGAAGGAACACCAGUGGCGAAAGCGGCUACCUGGACCAAUACUGAUACUUAGGUGCGAAAGCGUGGGGAGCAAACAGG